UAAGUUCCGACCUGCACGAAUGGCGUAAUGAUGGCCAGGCUGUCUCCACCCGAGACUCAGUGAAAUUGAACUCGCUGUGAAGAUGCAGUGUACCCGCGGCAAGACGGAAAGACCCCGUGAACCUUUACUAUAGCUUGACACUGAACAUUGAGCCUUGAUGUGUAGGAUAGGUGGGAGGCUUUGAAGCGUGGACGCCAGUCUGCGUGGAGCCGACCUUGAAAUACCACCCUUUAAUGUUUGAUGUUCUAACGUGGACCCGUAAUCCGGGUUGCGGACAGUGUCUGGUGGGUAGUUUGACUGGGGCGGUCUCCUCCUAAAGAGUAACGGAGGAGCACGAAGGUUGGCUAAUCCUGGUCGGACAUCAGGAGGUUAGUGCAAUGGCAUAAGCCAGCUUGACUGCGAGCGUGACGGCGCGAGCAGGUGCGAAAGCAGGUCAUAGUGAUCCGGUGGUUCUGAAUGGAAGGGCCAUCGCUCAACGGAUAAAAGGUACUCCGGGGAUAACAGGCUGAUACCGCCCAAGAGUUCAUAUCGACGGCGGUGUUUGGCACCUCGAUGUCGGCUCAUCACAUCCUGGGGCUGAAGUAGGUCCCAAGGGUAUGGCUGUUCGCCAUUUAAAGUGGUACGCGAGCUGGGUUUAGAACGUCGUGAGACAGUUCGGUCCCUAUCUGCCGUGGGCGCUGGAGAACUGAGGGGGGCUGCUCCUAGUACGAGAGGACCGGAGUGGACGCAUCACUGGUGUUCGGGUUGUCAUGCCAAUGGCACUGCCCGGUAGCUAAAUGCGGAAGAGAUAAGUGCUGAAAGCAUCUAAGCACGAAACUUGCCCCGAGAUGAGUUCUCCCUGAGACUUAGAGUCUCCUGAAGGAACGUUGAAGACGACGACGUUGAUAGGCCGGGUGUGUAAGCGCAGCGAUGCGUUGAGCUAACCGGUACUAAUGAACCGUGAGGCUUAACCUUAC
rnacentral:rRNA from 1 species